GCGUUGUUGGUGCAGUGGUUAGCAUAUCGCCUUCCCAGUCCUAAAACUGUAUAGGCGGGGGUCAGGAGUUCGAUCCUCCUACAACGCA